UACGUAGGGUGCGAGCGUUGUCCGGAAUUACUGGGCGUAAAGAGCUCGUAGGCGGUGUGUCGCGUCGGCCGUGAAAACCUGCAGCUUAACUGUGGGCUUGCGGUCGAUACGGGCAUCACUGGAGUUCGGCAGGGGAGACUGGAAUUCCUGGUGUAGCGGUGAAAUGCGCAGAUAUCAGGAGGAACACCGGUGGCGAAGGCGGUUCUCUGGGCAUGUCCUGACGCUGAGGAGCGAAAGUGUGGGGAGCGAACAGG
rnacentral:rRNA from 1 species